GUGCUCACUUCAGCAACACAUACACUGAAAUUGGAACAAUACAGAAAAGAUUGGCAUGGCCCCUGAGCAAGGAUAACACACAAAAUCAUGAAGCAAUCCAUAUUUUU